UACGGAGGGUGCGAGCGUUGUCCGGAAUCAUUGGGCGUAAAGGGCGCGUAGGUGGCGGCUUAAGCGUGCGGUGAAAGCUCGGGGCUCAACCCCGAGUCGGCCGUGCGAACUGAGUCGCUUGAGCACUGUAGAGGCAGGCGGAAUUCCGGGUGUAGCGGUGGAAUGCGUAGAGAUCCGGAAGAACACCGGUGGCGAAGGCGGCCUGCUGGGCGAGUAGCUGACACUGAGCGCGACAGCGUGGGGAGCAAACAGG
rnacentral:rRNA from 1 species